GCGUGUGCUGGGGUGGCGACGCCACAGCCACUAACGCGUGUGCGGUGCGGGAGGACAAGGAUGUCGGGCAGGGAUGUCCUGCUUGGCACCUCAGGACAGAGCCCAUGGUGGCUGGCGGCCCCUGGAAUGUUCGGGACGCAGAACACUUCGUGCUUGGGAACUUCUCAGAGGUGGGGACGAGGGAGAGGAAGGCGCCUGGAUGCCAGGAAGUCUCCAUCUUGGACAGCUGGGUGGUAUUUAAGAAGGUGGUAUUUAUUUUUGUCGACCAUAUUUUGCAGAGACUGGCAAGGAUGAGAUGAUGCCUAAGAAUAUCCAACUGGAGAUACUUAGUUGCUUUUGAAUAGGUAAUUUGCAUGGAGCUCAGGAAGGAAAGAUGAGAGGGUUUUAACUUUGUUGGUCGUUAAAAAAAAUCAAGAAUGUGACCUGUUUGUCACAUACGGAAUUGUUGGCCACGUUUUAGGAAGCAGUGUCAGUGACUACAGCAUUCUGUUUGGAGUUUUAUUGAAGAUUUCAUUCCAUAGACACUUUGGAGCACUUAUGUGUCAAGUGCUUGACAAGGCCAGGGUCAGCCGCUGUGCAGCCCCUGUAGCAGUUCCCAGGGACCCGGCAAAGCACCAGAGGGGGAGGAUGUUGUGUGAGUAUCGCUGGUAACCCUUCUCUCUCGCCUCCCUCGUGACUCCAGGUCACUCAAACUGGGCUCCAGAGAGUAAGAACCCCGAGUCCAGGGGCUGGAGAAAUAGCUGUGAAAACCCUGCACUCAUGGAGUUUUAAUUGUACUAGAGGAGGGGUCAGACAAGUAGAAAGUAUUUAUCUGGUAGUGAUAACACUACUGUUAGGGGUUAGGGUGUGAUGGGGCGGGGAAUUAUUUCAAGCAGCAGUUUUGGAAGUUCUCUUUGAGGAGGUAACACCUGAGCAGAGAUUUGAAUACAGUGAGGGAAGAAACGAUGUGACUGUAUGGGUAAAGUGCCUUCUAAAGGGAGGGAACAGAAAUGCUGACCAGAGAGAAGUGUGCUUGGUGAACUCCAGGCUUGGCAAGGUCAGUAUGACUGGCGAGGGCCUACUGAACAAGGAAGACUGCGAGAUGCUGUUGCAGGAGUAACUACAGGCCUUGAAGGAAGGAAAUUUGGAUUUAUUUCUGUGCCUGGAAAUGAUUAGAUUUGAAAGAGUGACAUGGCUGGGCACGUUUUGAUAGACGCACUGGUCAGCUUCAAAGAAGGCAGACAGUGGUGGGGCUAGAGGGGAUACAGGAAGACCAAUGAGGAGGCAAUGACAGCAGUCCACAAUUACAAGUAGCCUCCCACAAUUAUAUAACCUUUCCACAAGGCAUUUGCUUUGAGAGCCUAAUGAUUCUAAGAUAUUGAAGGGUUUUGGGUGCUAUGCUCAGGAGUUUGGAUAUUAUUGUUUUCAGGAAUUUAAGAAUGAUAAUAUGUAUUGAGCACUAACUACAUGUUGGGAGUUUUUUUGUUUGAGACACAGUUUCACUUUUGUUGCCCGGGCUGGGGUGCAAUGGCAUGACCUCGGCUUACCGCAAGCUCCGCCUCCCGGGUUCAAGCAAUUCUCCUGCCUCAGCCUCCCCUGUAGCUGGGACUACAUGCAUGCGCCAUCACGCCUGGAUAAUUUUGUACUUUUAGUAGAGAUGGGGUUUCCCCAGGUUGGUCAGGCUGAACUCCUGACUUCAGGUGAUCCGCCCGCAUCGGCCCCCUAAAGUGCUGGGAUUACAGGCAUGAGCCACUGCGCCUGGCCAUGUUGGGCACUUUUACAAGCACUUUACAUUAUCUAAUGCAACCAAAAACUGAGGUUUGCCCUAUUAAUAAAUGAGAAAACUGAGGCACUCAUCUGUUAAGUGCCUUGCUCAGGUCCCAUGUCCUUGGAACCAGGAGUCCUUCUCCUGUUGAUGUUGGAAGGUUCAAAAGUGCUCUUAUUACUUGUCACCCAGAUGGCAAAGAACUGACAUACAAAGGCCCAAGUCUUCCAGAACUGAAAACAGUAAUAAAACCUUCAUUUAUCUGACCCAUUUGUCCUGGUGAUGCUGUAGUCUGUUAGGAGUACCUAACAGGUGCCCUUCCACAGCCAACUAAAAAACAAAACUAUUCAAGCUGAAGAGAAGCAGUGAAACCUCUGAUAUGAAGCCUGACACACCCUUUGACUUUAGCCAGGACUCACACACUAUAUUGUUCUGAGUAUUCACUGAGGAAGCCCCCGCUUCUGUCAAGGAUUCUCAUCAGGAACCAGUCUCCUCGGAGAAAGGAGGUUAAAACGUGGUCUGGAGAACCCCUUUCCCUUCUGCUCUAUUAACUAUGGAUAUGCAAAUGAACACUUACAUUUGACCAAGACCUCCAUCACCAGUCUGCUUACGCUUCCCCAGGACAGUGGCUACGUGCCAGUAAUUCCUGGUGUCCAUUUGCUGAGCCCUGUUGGGACCCUUGAAGCGUGAUAUAAUAAGGUCUUCCUUUAGCCUCAUUUCUUCCUGCUUCUUGACUUCUACUCUAUGCUUAAAUCAUACAUCUCUUAGAAUUUCCUGAAUAUACACUAUGCUCUCUUAGCCUCUCUUGCCAUUACUCCUAUUCUUCCCUGCACCUUCUCAUUUCCUCCCGUCUUCUGUUCACCCAACUAGUUCACUCUUAUGGCACUGUGUGCUAGGAGCUACUUGACAGCAGAGAGCAGGCGUCAUUUACCCUGGAAUUCAUAGAAGCUGACUUAUGCUAGGAGCUCAAUAAAUGUUAGUUGCUUGAAUGAACUACACUAUGAGUAGGAACAAGGUCUUACUCAUCCUUGUCACAAUAACAUGCAGCACAGGCCAAUUACUUAUGAGUCUCUUGACCACAGACCAUCAGAUCAUGCCAAUGUGUAUAUAGGCAGGGAAAUAACCUACCUCAAUUAAGUUAUAAGCAUUCAUAAAUUUUUCAGAGACCCUUCUCCUCCAGAUCUGUUGUGAUAUUUUUCAGGAGCCAGAGGCAGUUGGAAGCUAUGCAGUAUCUAGGAGAGGGGUACUGGCACCAUAUUCUGCAGCUCCACUUUUAUUCGUUAAAGAACCCUGACUGGUAACCUCUUUAAAUGCCCAGAGGCCCAUUUCACAGAGCUCAAGUGGAGGGAAUGGCCCUAUUUGAGUCUUUUGAAUGAUGAUCCAGCCAUAGAGGAAAUACCCUGGUCACCCAAUUCUCUAUAGUUCCAGAGGGCGCUGUGUUUCUUGCUACCUUCAGAGUUACCCUAGUGCAUCCUAACUCCUGGUUUAUUUCAGACUUCCCUACCUUGAGCUCCUUCUGAGCUCUAAAUCACUAGCAACUACUGAGUAGGUGCUCAGUAACU
rnacentral:lncRNA from 1 species